GACACCGAGUGUCAGCAUCAUAUGCUGGCUGUCCAGGUGUGUAAAAUACACCUGUUAGCAAGGGCCGGGCAAGACCGGUGCCAGCCGCCGCGGUAACACCGGCGGCCCGAGUGGUGAUCGUGAUUAUUGGGUCUAAAGGGUCCGUAGCCGGUUUGGUCAGUCCUCCGGGAAAUCUGAUAGCUCAACUAUUAGGCUAUCGGGGGAUACUACCAGACUUGGAACCGGGAGAGGUAAGAGGUACUACAGGGGUAGGAGUGAAAUCUUGUAAUCCCUGUGGGACCACCUGUGGCGAAGGCGUCUUACCAGAACGGGUUCGACGGUGAGGGACGAAAGCUGGGGGCACGAACCGGAUUAGAUACCCGGGUAGUCCCAGCCGUAAACGAUGCUCGCUAGGUGUCAGGCAUGGCGCGACCGUGUCUGGUGCCGCAGGGAAGCCGUGAAGCGAGCCACCUGGGAAGUACGGCCGCAAGGCUGAAACUUAAAGGAAUUGGCGGGGGAGC
rnacentral:rRNA from 1 species